ensembl:lncRNA
CCAAAGGUCAUUUAUCAAACCUGUGAGGCUGGAAAGGUCAUUUAGUAAGAAGCUCAACUUCUGCUUUCUACAUAAAUGAAAGUGAAAGUUAAAGGAAGCUUAAAGAUGUCUACAUAACCAAGAGAAACUGCUGCAACAUGAAAUGUAUCAGUAGAUUUAUCUCUACUGAAGGCUUGUUGCAGUCAUUAUUUAACAUAAACACCGGACGUCUUUACUGCUUCAAAGUGGGCGAAGUCAAAUCAAACUGUUGCUUUGCAGCUGAGAGCCAGGGUGAUGAGAUAAGUCAGAAAACGACAGAAGAAUCGUCUGCAAGUAAGAUAAAUAAUACUGCUUCUAAUGAUAAUCACACAGUUCCUGCCUGUGCUCCAACUGCUGUAUUGCAGGAGUUUGGUAUCAGAGUCCCUGCCGUACCUGGUAUUCACCUACACUGGAGGAACCCCUGCCCUGUGAAUAGCAGCCAGGUUCUUUCCUGUCAUGUGACAAUGUUUAAGAAACUUCCCUCUCUCCUCUAUUGUUUUAUAAACAAGAUGUCAGAAGGAGACGUUGAUAGUUUGUUUUAUGGGUAAUGUGCCAUCAGAGGCUCAUAGGAACAUGGAAACAAUCUGAAGUGCGUUUCUGCUGAUGCAUCACUGAAAAAUGCAGCAAAGAUCCAUGCACAGAAGAAUAUAAGAGUCAUUGUUUGAAUUUGCAGUAAGAAGGAAGUCUGUUUAACAUUUCCUUAAGAUAAAACCACAUCACAAUAGUUUCAGGAUUACACAAGUGCAUUGUCCUCAGGGUGUGAUUUACUGCACUGGUGGUAAAUUGAGUAAUACCAGGUAACACCAAAUGUCAUAAAAGACCUCAUAAAAGUAAAGAAAACAGGAAUGGGAUAUUUUUCUUUUUUUGAAGUGAAACGUGAUUUAUAAAGAAAUACAACAUUUGCAGCACAAACAUGUUUUGCAUAGUGCUGAGGCUGAAAUUGAGCUCAUUAAGACUUAACACAAGGCUGGAGUGAAGCAUCCUUUGACGGAGUGCAAAAACUGUUUUUGCUGAUUAUUUUCUGUUUAGCAAAAAUCCAGAUAUAAAAUAUGCUCCUAAGAUCCUGUUUUAUGCUUUUUCUUUUGUUCCACGGUACCUAACAUACCUGCUGCCCCCUCAUCUGGACAAGCUUCCCCAGCACAGGUUUGGACGUCAAUUGAAAGCAAAUUUGUCAAAAAAACAAAUGAAUGUGAUAAUACUUACCAUCAGCCUUCAGUAACACAUAACAACAAAACUACAAAUGGUUUGGGGACUUCUGCAUUUGGGGUUUUCUUUUUUUCUUUUGACCAUUUGAGAUUACUGGAGUUAUUGUAAACAGAGAAGAGAAAAGUAGUAAGCUGACAAAUACAUGACUACCUUACAGUAGUCACGUACGUGUGAGUCACUGCAUUUUUAAGUGAAGUUAAAAUAUCCGAGGCUUGAUUCAGCAAGAAUUCGACGUAAAACGGCCAUCCCACUAGAAACUCUUUUUUUAACCUUUAUGUGUUUGCCAGUAUGUUACUGACAUCAUUUCUGAGUGUGUCAGAGGAACUGGAAUCCAAAUGUGUGAUGACGGCUUUAACUGUGGUACUCAAAACCUCAAGUCCUGUUUUUCUUUCUCACACACACGACUUCAUGUUGAGUUUACUCUUUGGUUUCAUAUCUUAGUGAGGGCAUCUAAUUGAAACAAUGAUUUCCCUAGCCUAGCCUAAACCUAACCAUAACCUAAUUGCCAACCUGUCACUAAAAUCACACUUUGAGUCUUGAAAAGCUUCAAACUCACAGGGACAGGUGCUUUGUCCCCAGGGCUGUUGGUCCUCACAGGACAGGUACAGUAACAUUAAUAUUUUUCGUCCACACAAACAUAUAUGAACAUUGUACACACACACACACACACACACACACACACACACACACACACACACACACACACACACACACACACACACACACACACACGUCUGGUUUGCUAUCCUCGUGGGGACAUCCCAUUGACAUAAUGCUUUCCCUAGCCCCUUACCCUAAACCUAACCAUAACCUAAUUGUAACCCUGACAGUAAAACCGCAUUUUGAGUGUGAAAAUUGCUUUCAACCCCGAGGGGACCUGGAUUUUGGUCCCCACGGUGCAGAAAGUCCCCACCAGGAUAGUAAAAGUCAGAUUUUGGUCCCCACCAGGAUAGUACGAACCCGUACACACACACACACACACACACACACACACACACACACACACACACACACACACACACACACACACACACACACUACUGACAGCCUUUGACAAUCAAGCAGUUAAAGUUCUGGAAAAGAUUGUUAAAACAAUAAAAUAAUAUAAUACAUAUUAAAUAAGGUAAAAUAUUAACUCAGUGGAGGAUUUCACUCUGAUAGUCCAGGCUUAUUGUGGCUUUAAAUCUUUCCAAAAGGACGAGGGAGGCAGCGUCUUCAGCUAUCAGGCUGGACUGGGUUACGCUUUUACAAGACACCUAAGGUGAACCCUUGUAGAGCCUGUGAUGUGUCAAGGGACGGCUAACAGAGAGAUAAUGUGGACAAGAUUUUGUAUUGUCAGCAUAUGCUAUGUGGCUAACACAAUGUUUGAUAUAUGAUCAAUUCAUAUAACUGAAGUUAUUAGCCAAGUUUAUUUUGUGGAGUCCAGUACAUACACAGUGAAUCACAGAUAUCCUGCCAAUUUAAGAGGAAAAGAAAAAGAAUUUAGUUGUUCCAGUAUGAUCUGUGCAACACUGAUAGAACUCUUUUUAACAGGACGGUUUGGAAACAUCAGAUAAGCCCAACCAUCCUGAAGAGAGUAUGACUGAGGGGACAGGUAGAGAAUAGUCUUAACAGGGUUAACAGCACUCCAUAGUGUGCAUAAAUGCCACUUGUUUUGCACAAUAUCCAACUGCUGACAUCUGUUUAUUUUAUUUUAUUUUAUUUUAUUUUAUUUUAUUUUAUUUUAUUUUAUUUUAUUUUAUAUGUAUAUGUACCUGAACAUGUGAUGUGACAAUAGAAGUGAUUUUAUUUUAUUUUAAUUACAUUAUUUAUGUCUAGUGUAAAAAUAUAACAUGCAGACAAUUGACAUUUAGAAUAUAUCUGCGUAAUUUAGCCUGUCAAGACACAUAGCAUAUGUUGUGCAUCAGAAAUCUGAAUUGUACACUGUUGUGGAUGUGGAUGAUGAUGAUGAUGAUGAUGAAAUCUGUGCAUGAAAUCCUUGGAUCCAUUGUCAGACCCUAUACUGGUGUAGAGGGUCCUGGGUUCAUCCUGGUAUGCAGGAAGUUCCUGAAGGAUGAAGGAAUUGAUACCACUGCUUGGUCCCCCUGCUCGCCUGACCUAAAUCCAGUAUACCACCUCUGGGACAUUGUCUCUGUUCAUCUCCCAGGACACCAUCCAUUGAUGAAUAACUCAUGCUUUUAUCUAAUUUUGUCUCCCAUAGUUUGUUUUGUGCUGCUUGUUCUUGCUGUAGAUGACUGUUCCUCUCUAUGUUGCGGUUUUGUGCCCAAUUUUUAAUUUGUGUUUCUUUUUGUGAUUCUUCUGUUAAUGUGCUUUGAGUUGCUAUGUUUUUUUCUUGCAGAUACUCACGGUUGGUUUCUUUGCGUAUAUCCUCAGGCUAUCCCAAGUUUUAGUUUUGCUAUCUAUUUUAAUUCUCGGUUAUAGUUUGCUUAUAUUCCCUGAUUCCGUUUGUUCUGGCUCCCCCAUGUUUCCUGUAUCUUGCUAUCUUUGUAAAAUGUUAUUUGUUUCCUGUUUUAUUUUGAUAGCAUUUGUCUCACAUGUUUAGUAAUCAGUUGUAUUUCCCCUAGUCAUUUUUCCAUGAUUGUUGAUACCUGUGUGUUCUCCAUAGGUGUAUUCCUUUCCCCUAAGUGCUUAAAAGAAGCCUUAUCUGUUUUGUUGGCGGAUUAGUCAUCUGUCUUGGUGUGUUGCCAGUAAAUUUUUUGAUCACAUGACUCAUCUGGAUUCCACGGCUUUAGCUUCCUGUUGGAAUAUGUUAUCUUCAAAACCUUUACUUAAAUUUUCGUUUAAAUCUGUGUGUGCUGAAGACUGCAUUUUCGGAUCCUCCUCCUCAUUUCUUGACACCCUGAUUCUGGUCGUUCUUCCUGUUAAAUCGUGGGGCGAUCGUGGCUCAAGAGUUGGGAGUUCGCCUUGUAAUCGGAAGGUUACCGGUUCGAGCCCCGGCUCGGACAGUCUCAGUUGUUGUGUCCUUGGGCAAGACACUUCACCCGUUGCCUACUGGUGGUGGUCAGAGGGCCCGGUGGCGCCAGUGUCCG